rnacentral:rRNA from 1 species
UACGUAGGGUCCGAGCGUUAAUCGGAAUUACUGGGCGUAAAGCGUGCGCAGGCGGUCUCGCAAGUCCGAUGUGAAAUCCCCGGGCUUAACCUGGGAACUGCGUUGGAAACUAUGAGGCUGGAGUGCGGCAGAGGGGGGUGGAAUUCCAGGUGUAGCAGUGAAAUGCGUAGAGAUGCGGAGGAACACCGAUGGCGAAGGCAGCCCCCUGGGCUGACACUGACGCUC